UCUUGGCAAGGCGGCAAAACCCUCGAGAUAUAAAAACUAAGAAAAUAUUAGUUGCUGCUUCUUUCCCGCGACGUCUGGAUGAUCCUGUUAAAAUGCACCCUGCUCUCUCAGACCAGGUCCAGGUCAGCUACAUUGUGGCGAAACUAGCUGGUUAGCUGUGUAAUGAGCUCCUUACAGUCUGGCAGAGAUGCCUGACUCAAACUAGACCGGCCCAGAGCAUUCAAGACCACUGACAUGCAUCAUAUUGUAGAACUACAGAAGAGGAUUUCAGAAAAUCAUGCUGUGUGCAUCAAGUACCCUGAAUAUACACGCUCCUGUUGACUGUAGUGAGAGAUCAAAGAGAUGUCAUCGGGGCUGUAAGAGGACGGCUGAGGGCAGUCCAACCAAUCAGUGGCCAGAUGCCGAGGGUAUCCUUCUUCAGGGGUGGAGCCUGGACCCCCAUACCACACCCUGCGUUGGGUCCCAGUGCAAUCCUUGCCACCCUCCUUCUGAGUCCUCAGGAGCCAGAGUAGACAGAGGCUGAGGGAAACCCUCUUGGAGAGACAGAUCCUUAAACAGCCAAACCUGGGAACCUGCACAUAUAUGUUAAGUAGUUUACUUUAAGUAGAGUAGUGUCAAGUCAUUGGUGUAACUGAUGAUCACUUGCACAUAAAAAUAGCAAGGUUGUAGAAAUGAUCUGAAAAUGUGUUUUACGUAAAAAUAAAAGGUAUGAUUUUAUAGCGUGUCUAUUUACACUAAGUGCAAAUAACUUGUUGGCAAAGGGUAUUUACUCUAGCUCUGCCCACCAGACAACAACAACAACAACAACAAAUAAACCAUCUGGUAACAGGAAUAAUGGAGUGGAGAUGAAGGAUAUAUGUAGCCAGCAUCCAUAUCAACCUGCAACCCAAGACUGGUUGCUAAUUGAAGCAAAGCAGGGUUGAGCCUGGUCAGUACCUGGAUGGGAAACCUCCUGGGAAAAUUAGGUUGCUGCUGGAAGAGGUGUUAGUUAGACCAGAAGGGGGUGCUCACCCUCCAAGGUCUCUUUUGAAAAGAGCUGAGGAGUAACCUCGGCAUCCUAGCCAAAUUCACCCAUUGGCCUGCUCUGAGGAGAUACCCCCUCAAAAUGUAGAGCGCUUUGAGUGCAAUAUAAGUGUUUUACGCUUUACAUGGCACCUGGCUUUUUCUGCAGCAGUUUAUUUCUGCAACAAAAGAAGUGAUGCUUCUCAACAUUUUCUUGUUUUUCACUGACAUGUCUCUUUGACUAGUGCAUCUAUGAGCCAAUAUUUAAUAUAAGUAAAAUACUUAAGUACUGUUAAAAUCAGACUUUUACUCAAAUUGCUUUGGAAUUGGUGACUUGUAACUUAAUUUAUUAUUUGCAUUAUGGCCAAGUCAAAUAAAUCUCUUUGUAUUGCAUAAAUCAUCUCUUAAAAGUGUGGUGCACAGUUGGAAUUCAGCAUGAAUGUGGGUUUGUGAAGUGAUUGUGCUGGGAGACUGACCACUGAUAAAUAUGAUGGCAUGAUCUGUGUGUCUUUCCAUAACCGCUCGCAGUGGAGGCAGUGAAGAAGGAAGAGCUGACCAAAGUCUCUGUACAGGAACAGCCCUGACUGACACCAGUCCACCUCUGCUCACUCUCCACAUGUUCUGCUCUGCAAAAUGCAUGAGGAAAGAAUUACCUGGUUGUCUGAAGGCCCAUUCCUCCUCUGCAUCCAAGUGAACUCCACCUGCCCUGCCUGGAUCUGAUGGAAAGAAGGCAUGGCCAACAGAUCCACCUGCUCCAUCAAAGGGAUAUCCGUCUCCAUGAGGACCAUGCAAAAAAUCUAUUUGGAGAUCUGCCCCCUCUGGUCCUCGCACCUAUUUGAAAUAGUUUAACACAUUGCCGAUGUCUGAAUAGUUUGGUCAUCAUCGUCCGGAAGUGAACACCGCGGUGUCUGCAUCAGCUGAACUGUCUCUUCAUCUGUGAGAGGAAGGCGAGGCAAACCUCUGCAUUUUCUUCACUGCUUGAGUGACAGCUGUCCAGGCCUGUAACUGACCUGUAGAGGGAUCAGGGGGCGGGAGAUAGCCAUACUUUGUGAGCCAAUCCUGCCAAACAGAACAAUAUGAACUGUCAACCAUAAAUAUUCAAAUACACCACCACGGAAAUUUAUAAAAAAGAAAUCAAUACUUUAUUAAGCAAGGAUGCAUUUGACUGAUCAAGAGUAACAGUAAAAAAAAAAAAUAAAAUUAAGCAAAAUCACAUAAAUGCUUUUUUUUUUGUCAACUUUCUUCUCAUUAAAGAAUGUUGGAAUAAAAUAUAACCAUUUCCACAUUAAUAUUAAGCAGCACAACUGUUCAACUUUUCAACACUGACAAUAAUAAAAAACAGCACAUAGCAUAUUCAGCUUUUCCAUUAGCAUUAAUACAUUUUUAAAU